AUUAAUCAAGAUUCUGGUAUGUUUAAUCCUCCACUUCCUCAUUUCAAGACUCAAGCAAUUUCAAGGCUUGGUUUUGGUGUUGUAAACAAGCUAUUCUUGAAACUAAAUCCAACCCAUGAUCAAGAAUAUGGCAUAAAAUUUCCUUAUCUGCAGAUGGUUUUCCAUCAAACAAAACCAAACCCAAAAAUCCCUCUAAAUCCAACCCAUGAUCAAGAAUAUGGCGUAAAAUUUCCUUAUCUGCAGAUGGUUUUCCAUCAAACAAAACCAAACCCAAAAAUCCCUAUGUGGAUGAGGAGGACAGCUAAUUUAUGUCCAAUCU
rnacentral:lncRNA from 1 species